GACGAACGCUGGCGGCGUGCUUAACACAUGCAAGUCGAACGGAAAGGCCCUGCUUUUGUGGGGUGCUCGAGUGGCGAACGGGUGAGUAACAGGUGAGUAACCUGCCCUUGACUUUGGGAUAACUUCAGGAAACUGGGGCUAAUACCGGAUAGGAGCUCCUGCUGCAUGGUGGGGGUUGGAAAGUUUCGGCGGUUGGGGAUGGACUCGCGGCUUAUCAGCUUGUUGGUGGGGUAGUGGCUUACCAAGGCUUUGACGGGUAGCCGGCCUGAGAGGGUGACCGGCCACAUUGGGACUGAGAUACGGCCCAGACUCCUACGGGAGGCAGCAGUGGGGAAUAUUGCACAAUGGGCGGAAGCCUGAUGCAGCAACGCCGCGUGCGGGAUGACGGCCUUCGUGUUGUAAACCGCUUUCGCCUGUGACGAAGCGUGAGUGACGGUAAUGGGUAAAGAAGCACCGGCUAACUACGUG
rnacentral:rRNA from 1 species